rnacentral:lncRNA from 1 species
AAUUAUCCGGAACAAAUGGAAAAGACAGAGAGGUGGAGCUUUGUCCUGAGGCACAGAGAGGGGACCAGGCACCAGCCCGGGGCAUGGAAGGCCCUGUAGGGAAUGCGCCCUCUGUGCCAGGCAGUGUGCUAAGUAAGUACUUUUACAUGUAUUCAGGACAGAGCUAGGAUUUGUAGGGCCUGGUUCUUAUACAAUUUGGGGGUCUUCUUUAAGAAAAAGAAAAGAGGGGCGCCUGGGUGGCUCAGUUGAUUAAGUGUCUGACUUUGACUCAGGUCAUGAUCUCAAAGUUUGUGAGUUCCGUCCCCGCAUCAGGCUCUCUGCUGUCAGCACAGAGCCCACUUCUGAUCCUCUGUCCCCCUCUCUUUCUGCCCCUCCCCUGCUCUCUCUCUCUCUCUCUCUCUCUCUCUCUCAAAAAUAAUAGAAGGAAGGAAGGCAAGGGAAGGGAGGGAAGGAAGGAAGAAAGAAGAGGAAGAGAAAAGAAAAAUCAUGAAUACAAAAUUAGAUGCCAGGACUAGGAAGAGACCAUCCAGUUAAGGAGCCCCGUGGUUGAAGUGUCAUUAGCUUCACGGUAAAUCGGCCUCUGCACGCAUCUCCUUGUUUAACCCUUGCAGCCUUAGAAGGACACGUGGACACGUGUUUAUCCCCACUUUGGGCACAUUAAAGACGGUCCCAAAUUCAUGGUCACUCCUCCCAUCAGAGGCUCUGUGACUGUGUGACCAAUAGAGUAAGGCAGAAAUGACACCGGGACACUUUCUAGCCCAGGCCUUAAUAAGACACCGAGCGCUUUUUCUUCUUGUCCUGGAGACUCCCUCUUGGAGCUCUGAGCCACCAUGUUAGAGGUCCAACCGCCCUGCGGGAAAGACCCUGCGGGGAGGCCCCGAGACUGCAGGGGAGCCAGACAUAAGAGUGAAGCCAUCUUGGGGCACCUGUGUGGCUCAGCCGGUUAAGCGUCCGACUUCAGCUCAGGAUCUCACAGUUCCUGGGUUUGAGCCCCGCGUCAGGCUGUGUGCUGACAGCUCAGAGCCUGGAGCCUGCUUCAGAUUCUGUGUCUCCCUCCCUCUCUGCCCCCACCCCCGACUCAAGCUCUCUCUCUCAAAAAUAAAUAAAUGUUAAGAAAAAAAAAAAGAGCGAAGCCAUCUUGAAUGUCCCCCUCCCCCAGCCCAGCCCAGCCGCCAGCUCAAUACCGCUGAGUGACCCAACUAAUGACACAUGAAAGAGAAUCACCCGGCCAAGCCCCAUCUGAAUUCCUGACCUACAAAAUCGUGAGAUAGAAUAAAACAGUUGUUGUUUUAGCCACUAAGUUUUGGGGUAGCUUUUUAUGCAGCCAUGAUUGAAACACCCCUUUUACAGCCAAAGACAUUACGGCUUAUGGAGGUUACGACUCACCGGAAGCCACACGCCUGGUAAACAUAAGCACCGAGACGUGAACCUAGGGUCAUCUGCUCCGGAUCCUGUUCCUUUAACCGCUGUGCUGUACUGGGGAUUGGUCAGAACUCAUAAUGAUGAUUCUGAUUUAAAUAGUUUGCUGUUUCAGGGCACCUGGGAGGCUCAGUCGGUUAAGUGUCAGACUCUGGAUUUUAGCUCAGGUCGUGGUCUCACGGUUCCUGAAACGGAGCCCCGCAUUGAGCUCCAUGCUGGCAGCACAGAGCCUGCUUGGGAUUCUCUCUCUCCCUCUCCCUCUGCCCCUCCCCUGUGCACAAGAGCUCUCUCUCUCUCUCUCUCAAAAUAAAUA